CUUCAGAAGGAGAAGAAGAAGAAAGAGCGCAAGGAGCUGCUGAACUUCUACACGUGGCAGCACAGAAACACUCAGAAAGAACACAUCGCUGAGCUGAGGAAGAAGUUUGAAGAGGACAAACAGAGAAUCGCUGUACUGAGAGCGGAGAGGAAAUUCAGGCCCUACUGAUCAACAUACCCACAAUCCCCUGCACCCGCUGACUCCAUUUACCCACAAUCCCCGGCACCCGCUGACUCCACAUACCCACAAUCCCCUUCACCCGCUGACU